rnacentral:lncRNA from 1 species
GUAGAACCCACUUCUCUAUGCUGAAUAGUAGAAAGGGGAACAAUGGAAGGAGGAACGGAAGAAGAAGCGAAAAUAGCAGGAGGAAGAGUUGAAGCAGUUGAAACAGGUAAGGCAACAGGAACAGACAAAGCAGGCAAGGAAGAAUUUACAGGUAAGGAAGAAUGGAAAGAACUGGAGUUGAAAAAGAAGAAAAGGGAAUCUCAUCUAAAACCAGACCUAACUCGCCACUUUCGAAACCCCCAACAAAAAGCCGAUGAAUGGACUCAUCAAUGUCCUUAGGGGUGGUCUCGUCAUCAGAAACAAGGUGAACGGGCUCGUUAGUGGAGGUACGAGAAGGCGAAAUCUCAGCCUCAUCCUCACAUAUAAUGCGCCUCCUAGCUCUUGGUCUAGUUAUUAAUGAGCUAUCUUCGUCCCCUUCCUCCUUAGAAUCCUCUUCAAUGAUUUUUCUCUUUGUUUAAGUAUCUU